CCCACCACCAAAGCAUUUGCUGUACCGCGUUGACGGAGCGAAGCGACGUCAAACCGAUAAAACAGCAGUGUAAAGUGAGCCGCAGGGCGCUUUGCGCGACAGCGCAAAGGCAGGCGGUUUCGCGUAGCGAAAGCGAAUGCUUUGGGGUGGGGUGACUGCGUACCUUUUGUAUAAUGGGUCAGCGACUUAUAUUCUGUAGCAAGGUUAACCGUAUAGGGGAGCCGU
rnacentral:rRNA from 2 species